UACGGGAGGCAGCAGUGGGGAAUAUUGCACAAUGGGCGCAAGCCUGAUGCAGCCAUGCCGCGUGUAUGAAGAAGGCCUUCGGGUUGUAAAGUACUUUCAGUCGUGAGGAAGGUGUUAAGGUUAAUAACCUUAGCAAUUGACGUUAGCGACAGAAGAAGCACCGGCUAACUCCGUGCCAGCAGCCGCGGUAAUACGGAGGGUGCGAGCGUUAAUCGGAAUUACUGGGCGUAAAGGGCACGCAGGCGGUUAAUUAAGUUGGAUGUGAAAUCCCCGGGCUUAACCUGGGAAUGGCACUCAAGACUGGUUAGCUAGAGUCUUGUAGAGGGGGUAGAAUUCCAUGUGUAGCGGUGAAAUGCGUAGAGAUGUGGAGGAAUACCGGUGGCGAAGGCGGCCCCUGGGACAAAGGCUGACGCUCAUGUGCGAAAGCGUGGGGAGCAAACG
rnacentral:rRNA from 1 species